rnacentral:misc_RNA from 1 species
AGCGAACGAGUGGGCGAGCGAGAGCGAGAGAGAGAGGGAUAGAUAGUGUGACAACAUUCUGGCCGAGAUUAACGUAGAGUAAAGCGCAGCUACAGUCAUGGGCAAAAAGAAAGUGCCCAGCGAGGAUCUAAUUGUGCCGCCACAGGACAAUCGCAUCUGUGGCACAAUUUGCAUAUGCCAAAUGACGCUCGUCCUCAGCUCCGUGGCGUUGGUCUAUCUGACCGUAGCCAUCUAUAUGCCGUCGACGCGUGCCUUCAAGAGCGGCAUCGAUCCGACGCCCGUCAUGUGCACCACCACGCGAGCCGUCAACAAGGAGGGCUGCGAGUGGGGCAGCUGCGGCGAGUGGUGUCUGAGCAAAACCUCCGGCGCCUGCAUUCAGAUCUAUGUGAACCUGCGCAGCAACGGCACGAACCUCACGUUCCAGAACUGCACGAACUCGGCGAACAAGACGUGCUACGGCAUCGAUCAGGAUCGCGCGGACAAGGCGCGCUGCAUCAACGACGAGUGCAAGAAUCUCACUGGCACCUUCAACUGCACCGCCGGGCAGUGCUUGAACAUAACGGACGCCUUUGAGUGUGUGUUCCACAACAGCGAUGCUCCGGUCAAGUGCUCCGGGCGACGUGGCAAGAUCAACUGCAUGGACAUCAGCGGCUUGUUCUCGUGCAGCCGCGGCACCUGCCGCAAGAUACGCACGCCCUACAACUGCGAUAGACGCUGCGUGGAUAUACCCACCCGGAAUAAGAACGUGGUGGUGCUCAGCGGGGACAAGGUUUACCUAUCGCAGUGCCAGAAUGCCAUCAAUGCGGAGACCUUGGAGGAGGUGUGGAAUGAGUCGAGCGACAACGUGGCCAUGACAUCGUGCUACUUCAUCAAGAACACCUCGGAUCGAGUGGAUGCCGUAGACUGCAUCAACGGAUCGACGCUGGAGCACAAUAUGCUUAGUGACUUGACCAAUUUUACAUAUCUCAGUCAUUUGCAUGUGUCGGUGGCGACGCCGGUGCCGGAGAUAGCUCCGCCCGACGUCGACUUAACCAUAUCGAAUGAAUCGAAGCUGAUGAUCAAUUUGGAGGGAUGUGUGAACACGCUGAUGGAUGAGUGCAAGGAGUUCCUGAAGGUGUUCGGCCGGGAUGGCAGCGAUCACAAUGCCCGCGCACGCUUCCCCUGCUUCUAUUCGCCAUCGAAGAAGGAUAUUGUUGUGGCCCGGUUCGAUCUGGAGGUCACCUAUCGCCAGUUCGUGUUCGCGUCGGUGGUGCCGUCGGUGCUGUUCGUGGUAUCCUGCUCGGUGCUGCUGCUAUGCCAGCGCACCGUCUAUGUCGGCGACGAUGCCAAGAUGCGCUUCAAGGGCUGCGUCGACACGGACACCAUUCUGUCCAAGAACAACGUCGGCGCACCGACCAACGGUGACAUGGGUGGAGGCGGUGGCGAUGAAGUCAUGGCCCUAUGAGAUCCGUCACGUAAGCUUAACAUAAAGAGCCUCUUCCAACUAGGGUAAACACACACACUUAGGCCCACUGUGCUACGUCGGAAAAUUGCAUUGCUUAAUUGACAAACGAUGGGCAUUCCUCUGCUCCAGGAAGACAGUCCGGUUCAUCAGACUGGCGUCUUCGCAUUGCAAUAAAUGGAGUUGGGCAUAGUAAACAAUCGAGUAACACUUUGUAAUCCUUCCAUCGAACUACUAACAGACCACACACCUGAGCGCAGCUUGCUAAAGGACACUCCUGAGCUAACAGCAAACACAAAAACGAAACGAAACUAUAUAAAAACUCUAUACAUAUAGAGUGAUAUCUAUAUACACCACAUGCGAGGCACGUGAACAAUUCUCGAGUUACGAACACAAAGAACCGAAGAAGAGAGGACAAUAUUAGUAUAAUUUCUAUAUUUGAAUUCGAUUUUCUAUUUAUUUUUGGGAUAGGCUAGAGAGGCGCGCCAUCUACUGAGAGUAAUUAGCGUUGGGCAUGGCCUGGUUGAUUGAUUGAUGCUUUAACUUUAAGUUAAGUAAAGAAGAAGAAAACUAACAAGAACAUCUAUAGGGAAUACCUUCAAUGCACUCACAUACACAAGCACCCAAACACACACACUCACACAGAUACUCACACACACUCACAGAGGGAACUAGAAUCAGCCCUUAGGAGCAGGCAA